rnacentral:rRNA from 1 species
GAUGAACGCUGGCGGCGUGCCUAAUACAUGCAAGUCGAGCGAACGGACGAGAAGCUUGCUUCUCUGAUGUUAGCGGCGGACGGGGUGAGUAACACGUGGAUAACCUACCUAUAAGACUGGGAUAACUUCGGGAAACCGGAGCUAAUACCGGAUAAUAUUUUGAACCGCAUGGUUCAAAAGUGAAAGACGGUCUUGCUGUCACUUAUAGAUGGAUCCGCGCUGCAUUAGCUAGUUGGUAAGGUAACGGCUUACCAAGGCAACGAUGCAUAGCCGACCUGAGAGGGUGAUCGGCCACACUGGAACUGAGACACGGUCCAGACUCCUACGGGAGGCAGCAGUAGGGAAUCUUCCGCAAUGGGCGAAAGCCUGACGGAGCAACGCCGCGUGAGUGAUGAAGGUCUUCGGAUCGUAAAACUCUGUUAUUAGGGAAGAACAUAUGUGUAAGUAACUGUGCACAUCUUGACGGUACCUAAUCAGAAAGCCACGGCUAACUACGUG